rfam:Parcubacteria bacterium GW2011_GWC1_40_11 TT74_C0002, whole genome shotgun sequence.
GCCGGAGUGAUGGAAUUGGUAGUCAUGCGCGACUCAAAAUCGCGUGUCGCAAGACGUGGGAGUUCGACUCUCCCCUCCGGCA